UGAGGAAUAUUGGUCAAUGGGCGAGAGCCUGAACCAGCCAAGUCGCGUGAAGGAAGAAGGUUCUAUGGAUUGUAAACUUCUUUUGUAAGGGAAUAAAAAAGAGUACGUGUACUCUAUUGUAUGUACUUUACGAAUAAGGAUCGGCUAACUCCGUGCCAGCAGCCGCGGUAAUACGGAGGAUCCGAGCGUUAUCCGGAUUUAUUGGGUUUAAAGGGUGCGUAGGCGGACUUAUAAGUCAGCGGUGAAAGUUUGCAGCUUAACUGUAAAAUUGCCGUUGAAACUGUUAGUCUUGAGUGUAAAUGAGGUAGGCGGAAUGUGUUGUGUAGCGGUGAAAUGCUUAGAUAUAACACAGAACACCAAUUGCGAAGGCAGCUUACUGGGAUACAACUGACGCUGAGGCACGAAAGCGUGGGGAUCAAACAG
rnacentral:rRNA from 1 species